AGUGAACGCUGGCGGUAGGCCUAACACAUGCAAGUCGAACGGCAGCACAGUAAGAGCUUGCUCUUACGGGUGGCGAGUGGCGGACGGGUGAGGAAUACAUCGGAAUCUACUUUUUCGUGGGGGAUAACGUAGGGAAACUUACGCUAAUACCGCAUACGACCUACGGGUGAAAGCAGGGGAUCUUCGGACCUUGCGCGAUUGAAUGAGCCGAUGUCGGAUUAGCUAGUUGGCGGGGUAAAGGCCCACCAAGGCGACGAUCCGUAGCUGGUCUGAGAGGAUGGUAGCCCGCACUGGAACUGAGACACGGUCAAGACUCCUGCGGGAGGCAGCAGUGGGCAAUAUUGGACAAUGGGCGCAAGCCUGAUCCAGCCAUACCGCGUGGGUGAAGAAGGCCUUCGGGUUGGAAAGCCCUUUUGUUGGGAAAGAAAAGCAGCAGGUUAAUACCCCGCUGUUCUGACGGUACCCAAAGAAUAAGCACCGGCCAACUUCGUG
rnacentral:rRNA from 1 species